rnacentral:misc_RNA from 1 species
CUUAAACCUUCGUCUACCUCUUCGUUCUCUAGGGUAUUUUCGUCUUCUUCAUCUGCAAUCACCGCUACUUCCACCAUGGGUGAGGCUCCAGAUGUCGGCAUGGAUGCUGUCCAGAAACGCCUCAUGUUCGACGAUGAAUGCAUUUUAGUAGAUGAGAACGAUNNNNNNGGUGUUGUUGGUCAUGCUUCCAAAUAUAAUUGUCAUUUGUGGGAAAAUAUUUUGAAGGGGAACGCAUUACAUAGAGCUUUUAGCGUAUUUCUCUUCAACUCAAAAUAUGAGCUACUCCUUCAGCAACGCUCUGGGACAAAGGUGACAUUCCCGCUUGUAUGGACAAACACUUGCUGUAGUCAUCCUCUGUACCGUGAAUCUGAGCUUAUUGAUGAGGAUGCUCUUGGUGUGAGAAAUGCUGCACAAAGGAAGCUUUUCGAUGAGCUUGGUAUCCCUGCUGAAGAUGUUCCAGUUGAUCAGUUUACUCCACUAGGACGUAUACUAUAUAAGGCGUCCUCCGAUGGAAAGUGGGGAGAGCAUGAACUUGAUUAUCUGCUCUUUAUAGUCCGUGAUGUUAAUGUAAAUCCAAACCCUGAUGAGGUAGCUGAUGUAAAGUAUGUUAACCGGGAUCAGUUGAAGGAGCUCUUGAGGAAGGCGGAUUCUGGCGAGGAAGGUAUAAAUUU